rnacentral:rRNA from 1 species
CCUACGGGUGGCAGCAGUGGGGAAUAUUGCACAAUGGGGGAAACCCUGAUGCAGCGACGCCGCGUGAGUGAAGAAGUAUUUCGGUACGUAAAGCUCUAUCAGCAGGGAAGAAAAUGACGGUACCUGACUAAGAAGCCCCGGCUAACUACGUGCCAGCAGCCGCGGUAAUACGUAGGGGGCAAGCGUUAUCCGGAUUUACUGGGUGUAAAGGGAGCGUAGACGGCAGCGCAAGUCUGGAGUGAAAUCCCAUGGCUUAACCAUGGAACUGCUUUGGAAACUGUGCAGCUAGAGUGCAGGAGAGGUAAGCGGAAUGCCUAGUGUAGCGGUGAAAUGCGUAGAUAUUAGGCGGAACACCAGUGGCGAAGGCGGCUUACUGGACUGUAACUGACGUUGAGGCUCGAAAGCGUGGGGAGCAAACAGGAUUAGAUACCCGGGUAGUC